rnacentral:ncRNA from 1 species
AAAAGUCGUGUGCAAUGAAAAAUGCAAACACGAUUUGGGGAGGGUUUUUUUUAUGGAAUCAAGGAAGAAUUAUCUACUCCAU